rnacentral:rRNA from 1 species
UACGGAAGGCAGCAGUGGGGAAUAUUGCACAAUGGGCGAAAGCCUGAUGCAGCUAUGCCGCGUGUAUGAAGAAGGCCUUAGGGUUGUAAAGUACUUUCAUCGGGGAGGAAAAACAAAACUAAUAAUUUUAUUUCUUGACGUUACCCGAAAAAGAAGCACCGGCUAACUCCGUGCCAGCAGCCGCGGUAAUACGGAGGGUGCUAGCGUUAAUCAGAAUUACUGGGCGUAAAGAGCACGUAGGUGGUUUUUUAAGUCAGAUGUGAAAUCCCCGGGCUUAACCUAGGAACUGCAUUUUGAAACUGAAAUACUAGAGUAUCGUAGAGGGAGGUAGAAUUCUAGGUGUAGCGGUGAAAUGCGUAGAUAUCUGGAGGAAUACCUGUGGCGAAAGCGACCUCCUAAACGAAUACUGACACUGAGGGUGCGAAAGCGUGGGGAGCAAACAGGGAUAGAUAC